UCGAGAAUAUAAUUCAAUAUGACGAAACUUUUGAUUAUCAUUAUGGGCGUCAUGGCGGUUGGUGUACUGGCAGAGUCAGCACUACGAAGAGUUGUCAGAUCUCCGGAAUAUGGGUAUGAAGGUGGUUACGAUGGACAUGGGGACCACCACGGAGAUGAUUCUGAUGAAGAACACGGAUACCAAGACAGUCAUUUCAAUGGAGAACAGGAACACCAAGGGUACCAUUCUGAUUCAGAACACGGACACGAAGGAGGUGAUUUCGAUGGAUAUCAUGAUGACCAUCAUGACGGACAUCAUGAAGGUGACUUCGGAGGCUACUAUUAAUGGAAUGAUGUAGCCGAGUCUUCGCAUCACCAUUUUGGAUUCAACAGCAUGUUUUUAGAUUGCUCUCUUUGUAAAUAUCAUUAAAACAAAACCUUUGGCACUGAUACGUAGCAUUCUGUAUCCCCAUGUAAUCUGAUACUGUCUGCAGUUCAGUCAAAACCAGUUUUUGACAAUGACCAUCCAAAGAGUUGAGUCUUGAGUCAUUCGGAACCGGUAUUACGAACAUAAAAAAGGGUUUCUAAACUUAUCAAUUGAACAGGUUGAUGGAAGAACGUAUGAAUA